rnacentral:rRNA from 1 species
AUGGACCGCUCCCGGCCGCUCUGGGAGCUCCACUUCCUCAACUACCCGACCACUGAGGCGACGUCCACCGUGGUGAUCCGUGUGCAUCACUCCCUCGGCGACGGCAUGUCGCUGCUCACCCUCCUCAUGGCGUCCCCGCGCAGCGCCGCCGACCCGUCGAGGCUGCCGGCCAUGCCGGCGCUGCCCGCUCGCUCUGGCGCCAUCUACGCGCGACAGCGGCCCCCGUGGUCUGCAGGCGCUCUGGCGUUCGUCACGUGGGCUUGGUCGUAUGCCAUGCUCGCGUGGCACACCGUGGUGGACGUGACGCUCUUCGUCGCCACAAUCAUGUUCGUCAGGGACCCACAGACACUGUUCAAGCCUGCCGACGGCGGCGGCGGCGAGCUCCCCCGCCGCAAGCGCUUCGUGCACCGGAGCCUUAGCCUCGACGACGUCAAGCUCCUGAAACAUGCCAUGAACUGCGUACAAACAGUGGUGAUAGUUGGAGUGACUUCCGCUGCUCUGUCGCGAUACUAUUUCCGAAAAUCUGGUGACACUAAUACCAAAAUUAUAUGUUUGCGAUCGAUCCUCCUUGUGAACAUCAGGCCAACUAGUAGCCUACAGGAAUAUGUCAAUAUGAUGGAGUCUGGUAAGAGCAACGAUGUGACACGGAGAAAUCAACUUGGCUACAUAAUCCUACCAUUUCAGAUUGUUGUGCACAAAGAUCCACUUGAAUAUAUUCACAAGGCCAAAAAGAUUGCUGAUAGGAAGAAAAGCUCACUGGAAGUGAUGUUUACGCAUAUGCUUGCCGAAGUUAUAAUCAAAACUCUUGGUGUGAAGGCUGCAGGUGUUAUUUUCCACCGUAUGAUAUCACACACGACCAUAUCAUUUUCGAACAUGAUUGGGCCAGCAAAGCAGGUAGAGUUCUAUGGGCACCCAGUUGUCUCCAUUGCGCCUAGCGUCUACGGUCCGCCAGAAGCUCUGACGGUGCACUACCAGAGUUACAGUAACACCAUCAAGGUAAUUCUAGCUGUUGAUGAGGCACACUUUCCAGAUCAU